CGCGACGGUGAGGCUUGGCACGCCGGAGCUACGCCCAGGUGGACUACGCAUGAGCGAAGUCCCUGGCCUCCGCAGCGCGGGCGAGGAGCAGCGCUAGCUGAUGAGGUGUGCGGUCACCGUCUCCUGCCUCAGCUCCGCCGGCUAUCUAGGGUUGCCACGGCCAGGAAUAGGUGCCCCCGUUCCUCGCGCCCGUGCGUCCUUCUCCCGGACACCAUGGCGUUGGGGACGAAUCAUGUGUGAACGUAGAGCAGCAGUACACGCUGGAUGCGAACUCGUGCACUCGCUUGAGGGCGAGUUCGGCCAGUGCAUAUGACCCCAAGGUCCUCAGUGUGAACUGUUCCAGGAAACUACUGUGUGCCGAUUCUUUAUUGAUGCUCAUGAAGCAGCUGCCGGCCAAGUAGGGAUAUUUGUGUUGUGACAGACUGCUCCGGGAAGAAAAAGAGGACGAAGGUAUCGCUGCCAGCAGGAGCUCCUUCUAUUGACGCUGUUAUGAUAUUCUAUGGAGAAGUUGCGUUCGACGAGGGUUCUGAUCAGAUGCACGAGGGCUUGGUUGCAGCGGAUAUUUAAUUUUGUUUACUGGAAAAUUGCCAUGAGGAAUUAUUCACAAGCUUAUCUUGUGGUCUGUAGGUGUUGAACAUACUCCAUCAUGAAUAAGGGGCUGGAAAAGAACAGGCAAGUCAAGUGGCUGAUUUUUGCAGCAGAGACGUUCACGAGGCUAAAAGGUUAGGCCAGGAACAACCUUAGUUGAGGCAUUACUACAUAAAUAUGAAGGACCAUCUUACCAGCUGUUGUAAAUACAUGAAGAUUAGUUUUAGGGCUUUGGAUCAUAAUACGGACUACAUAGAUGAAUUCCAAGAAACGAGUCCAAGUUCUUUCAGCUUGCAGUUUUCCAAAUAAACUCCUCCACCUAG